rnacentral:rRNA from 1 species
UACGUAGGUGGCGAGCGUUGUCCGGAUUUACUGGGCGUAAAGAGCGCGCAGGCGGCUGGUCAAGUCCGAUGUGAAAGCUCCCGGCUUAACUGGGAAAUUGCAUCGGAAACUGAUCGGCUGGAAGGUGGGAGAGGGUAGCGGAAUUCCCGGUGUAGUGGUGAAAUGCGUAGAUAUCGGGAGGAACACCAGUGGCGGAAAGCGGCUACCUGGCCCAUUCUUGACGCUGGAGGCGCGAAAGCUAGGGGAGCAAACGGGG